rnacentral:sRNA from 1 species
UCCUUUCCUAUGACCGCGAGGAGGGCGGC